rnacentral:rRNA from 1 species
GACGAACGCUGGCGGCGUGCUUAACACAUGCAAGUCGAACGAAGUGGCGAACGGGUGAGUAAUACGUGGGUAACCUGCCCUCCUUUUUGGGAUAAGCCUUGGAAACGGGGUCUACUACCGAAUAAAGGGGGAUGGGCGCGCGGCCUAUGAGCUUGUUGGUGGGGUGAUGGCAUACCAAGGCGGUGACGGGUAGCCGGCCUGAGAGGCUGACCGGCAACAUUGGAACGGAGAUACGGCCCAGGCUCGUACGGGGGGUGGAAGUUGGGGAAAUGGCCCAAGGGGCGAAAGCCUGAUGCAGCGACGCCGCGUGGGGGAUGAAGGCUUUCGGGUUGUUUACCUGUUUCGCUAGCGAACGGGUAGGUGGAGAAGAAGCGCCGGCUAACUACGUGCCAGCAGCCGCGGUAAUAC